GCCACCUUAGCUCAGCUGGUAGAGCGUUCGCUUUGUAAGCGAAAUGUCCAGGGUUCGAGUCCCUGAGGUGGCU
rnacentral:tRNA from 1 species